rnacentral:rRNA from 1 species
UACGUAGGGAGCGAGCGUUUGUCCGGGAAUCAUUAGGGCGUAAAGAGCAUGUAGGUGGAUCAAUUAGUCUGCUGUGAAAGUCAAAGGCUCAACCUUUGAAAGCCGGUGGAUACUGUUGAUCUAGAGUACGGAAGAGGCGAGUGGAAUUCCUGGUGUAGCGGUGGAAUGCGCAGAUAUCAGGAGGAACACCAAUAGCGAAGGCAGCUCGCUGGGACGUUACUGACACUGAGAUGCGAAAGCGUGGGGAGCAAACAGG